GGCGUCAGGCAACGCGAGCGGAGCUUCCGGUUGUCAGUGGCCGGGAGGCCACUGCGUCGGGUCGUAGGUCUGAAGCCUGCCGUCGCCGGGUAGCCCUCGACCCCUCCCCGCUCCCUCUGGUGAGUUAGGGUUGGCGGCGAGGAGGGCAGCGGAAGAGCGGCGGGGCCGAGACCCGAACAGGCGGUUGGCCACCAGCCCUCAUCGUGACGCCAAGCCCCUGGUUGCCUUGAAAGCCCUGCUUCAGACCCCUUACCCUUCCCAGUCCAAAGCCCGGGGCCCUGGCCCACUCCCACGCUAGCCUGCGGCCCGCACUGCCCCUGCGGGGAUGACGUUACGCGCGAGGCGAGGUCCUCUGACGUCAGACGUAACUGUCCACCAUCUUUGUCCCUGGCAAGUGGGUUUUGUGCACUGGCUUAGACCUGGAGGAAUCGUGACGCGCGGAAACCAUUAGAGCACCUCUCGGGCUGCGCUCUCAGGCAGCUGCCGCCCCGCGUUUGCCCUCGGUGCACAUUAAAGAUCCAAAACCAUGACAGAUUCCAAGUGCUUCACAACAAAUAAGAAAGCACUAUUUACAAUAGCCAAGAAAUGGAAGCAACCUAAGUGUCCAUCAGUAGAUGAAUGGAUAAAGAAGAGGUGGUACAUAUACACAAUGGAAUAUUAUUCAGCCAUUAAGAGAAAACAAAUCCUACCAUUUGCAACAACAUGGAUGGAGCUGGAGGACAUUAUGCUCAGUGAAAAAAGCCAUGUGGAGAAAGACAAGUACCAAAUGAUUUCACUCAUAUGUGGAAUAUAAGAACAAAGGAAAAACUGAAGGAACAAAACAGCAGCAGAAUCACAGAACCCAAGAAAGGACUAACAGUUACCAAAGGGAAAGGGACUGGGGAGGCUGGGUGGGAAGGGCAAGAUAAGUAGGGGGAAGAAGAAA